UGCGUGGGUGGUAUGGCAAGUCAGAAGUGAAAACCCAGGGCUUAACUCUGGGACUGCUUUUGAAACUGUCAGACUGGAGUGCAGGAAAGGUAAGCGGAAUUCCUAGUGUAGCGGUGAAAUGCGUAGAUAUUAGGAGGAACAUCAGUGGCGAAGGCGGCUUACUGGACUGAAACUGACACUGAGGCACGAAAGCGUGGGGAGCAAACA
rnacentral:rRNA from 1 species